rnacentral:misc_RNA from 1 species
GCCAUUUGAAGUGUUAACGAUGAUCUAAUCAACUUCGAGGUGGAUACACCCGUAAACAACUCUUUAACAUCAUCAAAAUUGAGUACUUUUUUCUCAGGAUUGACUAAUAUUUGGUCCGUAGGUUGUAACGUCGGUAUUGUUACGUUCGUAGAACCAUAGUUGCCGGUGAAAUUCAUAGGUGGGACAGUCGGAGCUGUGUUUAGACAUCGAGCGAAUCGUCGGAGGUCACGAAAAACCUUUGGACAUACGACUUUGUUUGCCAUGAAAUUGAAAUGAAAAUUAACAAAAUAUGAAUUCU